rnacentral:rRNA from 1 species
UACGAGGGGGGCGAGCGUUGUUCGGAAUUAUUGGGCGUAAAGGGCGCGUAGGCGGCUUCUCAAGCGUGUGGUGAAAGUCCGGGGCUCAACCCCGGAUCGGCCGUGCGGACUGGGGAGCUCGAGUUCUGUAGAGGCGGGUGGAAUUCCGGGUGUAGCGGUGGAAUGCGUAGAGAUCCGGAAGAACACCGGUGGCGAAGGCGGUCUGCUGGGCAGUUGCUGACACUGAGGCGCGACAGCGUGGGGAGCAAACAGG